rnacentral:rRNA from 1 species
UAAGGACUUCCCUUUUAAUUUUAAGGGCCGAGCGGGGAGAUUUUAAGCUUGUUCUGAUGAAAAUAGCGGCGGGCGUUCAAUUAAACGUGGGCACCUGCCCAUAAGACUGGGAAACUUCUUUAAACCGGGGCUAAUACCGGAAAAUUUUGAACCGCAUGGUACGAAAUUGAAAGGCGGCUUCGGCUGUCACUUAUGGAUGGACCCGCGUCGCAUUAGCUAGUUGGUGAGGUAACGGCUCACCAAGGCAACGAUGCGUAGCCGACCUGAGAGGGUGAUCGGCCACACUGGGACUGAAACACGGCCCAGACUCCUACGGGAGGCUGCAGUAGGGAAUCUUCCGCAAUGGACGAAAUUGGGACGGAGCAACGCCGCGUGAGUGUUGAAGGCUUUCGGGUCGUAAAAUUCUGUUGUUAGGGAAGAACAAGUGCUAGUUGAAUAACUUGGCACCUUGACGGUACCUAACCAGAAAGCCACGGUUAACUACGUGCCAGCAGCCGCGGGUAAUACGUAGGGGGGCAAGCGUUAUCCGGAAUUUAUUGGGCGUAAAGGCGCGCGCAGGGUGGUUUCUUUAAUUCUGAUGUGAAAAGCCCCACGGCUCAACCGUGGAGGGGUCAUUGGAAAACUGGGAAGACUUUGAGUGCAGAAGAAGGAAAAGUGGAAAUUCCAUGGUGUAGCGGGUGAAAUGCGUAGAGAUAUGGAGGAACACCAGUGGCGAAGGCGACUUUCUGGUCUGUAACUGACACUGAGGCGCGAAAGCGUGGGGAGCAAACAGGAUUAGAUACCCUGGUAGUCCACGCCGUAAACGAUGAGUGCUAAGUGUUAGAGGGUUUCCGCCCUUUAGUGCUGAAGUUAACGCAUUAAGCACUCCGCCUGGGGAGUACGGGGGUAAGGGCUGAAACUCAAAGGAAUUGACGGGGGCCCGCACAAGCGGUGGAGCAUGUGGUUUCGAAGCAACGCGAAGAACCUUACCAGGUCUUGACAUCCUCUGACAACCCUAGAGAUAGGGCUUCUCCUUCGGGAGCAGAGUGACAGGUGGUGCAUGGUUGUCGUCAGCUCGUGUCGUGAGAUGUUGGGUUAAGUCCCGCAACGAGCGCAACCCUUGAUCUUAGUUGCCAUCAUUAAGUUGGGCACUCUAAGGUGACUGCCGGGUGACAAACCGGAGGAGGUGGGGAUGACGUCAAAUUCAUCAUGCCCCUUAUGACCUGGGGCUUAACACACGUGCUAACAAU